AGUGAACGCUGGCGGUAGGCCUAACACAUGCAAGUCGAACGGCAGCACAGUAAGAGCUUGCUCUUACGGGUGGCGAGUGGCGGACGGGUGAGGAAUACAUCGGAAUCUACUUUUUCGUGGGGGAUAACGUAGGGAAACUUACGCUAAUACCGCAUACGACCUACGGGUGAAAGCAGGGGAUCUUCGGACCUUGCGCGAUUGAAUGAGCCGAUGUCGGAUUAGCUAGUUGGCGGGGUAAAGGCCCACCAAGGCGACGAUCCGUAGCUGGUCUGAGAGGAUGAACCGCCACACUGGAACUGAGACACGGGCCAGACCCCUACGGGGGGCAGCGGUGGGAAAUAUUGAAAAAGGGGCGCAGGCCUGCUCCAGCAACACCGCGUGGGUAAAGAAGGCCUUCGGGUUGUAAACCUCUUUUGUUGGGAAAGAAAAAAAGCAGUUUAAACCCCCCUUGUCCGGAGGGUACCAAAAAAAAAAGCCCGGGCUAACUUCGUG
rnacentral:rRNA from 1 species